GCCGAGCGGGCUGCUGGAGGCGUGCGGUGGCAGGGUUCCUCCCGCCGCCCCGAGCUGUGGUGGUAGGCGCCGCCUGAGCACGAGGCCGUAGUUGGGAGCGGGAGCCUGGGACUGCUCGGGCGGAAGGCUGAGGUGGGCCCGCGGUGCCGCUCCGGCCGGGGGAGAGCUGUAGGUCAUGGAGGAGUUGUGUGGCCAGAGAAACGGCUAGCGCUGCUCCGUACGGUCGCCCUACAAAAACCCUGCGCUGGCAGCUCUGCAGGUCUUAUUCCAGUUCAGAGGAGAAAGAUCAGAAGGUGUUUUACCACUUCAGGCCUGCAGUGGAAACUGUCUUGGUCCUUCUGCCCCCUCUGUAGUUUGUGAUGAUGUUCAGUGCUGGAAAUGGGGGAAGAGGAGGAGAGGCCAGAAAAGGCGAGCUGAAAUUCGACCCAGUGUUAAAACUCAUUGUAACUUGAACUGAAAUUAAGUAUAAAAUGUAAUUUCAUUUCUCAAUAAAACCGUAAAAUCUG